rnacentral:rRNA from 1 species
UACGUAGGGUGCGAGCGUUGUCCGGAAUUAUUGGGCGUAAAGGGCUCGUAGGCGGUUUGUCGCGUCGGGAGUGAAAACCCAGGGCUUAACUCUGGGCUUGCUUUCGAUACGGGCAGACUAGAGGCAUGCAGGGGAGAACGGAAUUCCUGGUGUAGCGGUGAAAUGCGCAGAUAUCAGGAGGAACACCGGUGGCGAAGGCGGUUCUCUGGG